rnacentral:rRNA from 1 species
CGCCUACGGGAGGCAGCAGUGGGGAAUAUUGGGCAAUGGGCGCAAGCCUGACCCAGCAACGCCGCGUGAAGGAAGAAGGCUUUCGGGUUGUAAACUUCUUUUCUCAGGGACGAAGCAAGUGACGGUACCUGAGGAAUAAGCCACGGCUAACUACGUGCCAGCAGCCGCGGUAAUACGUAGGUGGCAAGCGUUAUCCGGAUUUAUUGGGUUUAAAGGGUGCGCAGGCGGGAGAUCAA